UACGUAGGUGGCAAGCGUUGUCCGGAUUUACUGGGCGUAAAGAGCGCGCAGGCGGUCGUUCAAGUCGCGUGUGAAAGCCCCCGGCUCAACUGGGGAGGGUCACGCGAUACCGAUCGACUCGAAGGCAGGAGAGGGUAGUGGAAUUCCCGGUGUAGUGGUGAAAUGCGUAGAUAUCGGGAGGAACACCUGUGGCGAAAGCGGCUCUCUGGACCACAACUGACGCUGAGGCGCGAAAGCUAGGGGAGCAA
rnacentral:rRNA from 1 species